rnacentral:rRNA from 1 species
UACGUAGGGUGCAAGCGUUGUCCGGAAUUAUUGGGCGUAAAGAGCUCGUAGGCGGUUCGUCGCGUCGGCUGUGAAAUCCCGAGGCUCAACCUCGGGUCUGCAGUCGAUACGGGCGGACUGGAGUACUGCAGGGGAGACUGGAAUUCCUGGUGUAGCGGUGAAAUGCGCAGAUAUCAGGAGGAACACCUAUUGCGAAGGCAGCUCGCUGGGACGUAACUGACGCUGAGACGCGAAAGCGUGGGGAGCAAACAGG